GCCGGGGGGGGUGCUAUACAUGCAGUCGACGCGUUGGCCCAAUUGAUUGAUGGUGCUUGCACCUGAUUGAUUUUGGUCGCCAACGAGUGGCGGACGGGUGAGUAACACGUAGGUAACCUGCCCAGAAGCGGGGGACAACAUUUGGAAACAGAUGCUAAUACCGCAUAACAGCGUUGUUCGCAUGAACAACGCUUAAAAGAUGGCUUCUCGCUAUCACUUCUGGAUGGACCUGCGGUGCAUUAGCUUGUUGGUGGGGUAAUGGCCUACCAAGGCGAUGAUGCAUAGCCGAGUUGAGAGACUGAUCGGCCACAAUGGGACUGAGACACGGCCCAUACUCCUACGGGAGGCAGCAGUAGGGAAUCUUCCACAAUGGGCGCAAGCCUGAUGGAGCAACACCGCGUGAGUGAAGAAGGGUUUCGGCUCGUAAAGCUCUGUUGUUAAAGAAGAACACGUAUGAGAGUAACUGUUCAUACGUUGACGGUAUUUAACCAGAAAGUCACGGCUAACUACGUGCCAGCAGCCGCGGUAAUACGUAGGUGGCAAGCGUUAUCCGGAUUUAUUGGGCGUAAAGAGAGUGCAGGCGGUUUUCUAAGUCUGAUGUGAAAGCCUUCGGCUUAACCGGAGAAGUGCAUCGGAAACUGGAUAACUUGAGUGCAGAAGAGGGUAGUGGAACUCCAUGUGUAGCGGUGGAAUGCGUAGAUAUAUGGAAGAACACCAGUGGCGAAGGCGGCUACCUGGUCUGCAACUGACGCUGAGACUCGAAAGCAUGGGUAGCGAACAGGAUUAGAUACCCUGGUAGUCCAUGCCGUAAACGAUGAGUGCUAGGUGUUGGAGGGUUUCCGCCCUUCAGUGCCGGAGCUAACGCAUUAAGCACUCCGCCUGGGGAGUACGACCGCAAGGUUGAAACUCAAAGGAAUUGACGGGGGCCCGCACAAGCGGUGGAGCAUGUGGUUUAAUUCGAAGCUACGCGAAGAACCUUACCAGGUCUUGACAUCUUGCGCCAACCCUAGAGAUAGGGCGUUUCCUUCGGGAACGCAAUGACAGGUGGUGCAUGGUCGUCGUCAGCUCGUGUCGUGAGAUGUUGGGUUAAGUCCCGCAACGAGCGCAACCCUUGUUACUAGUUGCCAGCAUUAAGUUGGGCACUCUAGUGAGACUGCCGGUGACAAACCGGAGGAAGGUGGGGACGACGUCAGAUCAUCAUGCCCCUUAUGACCUGGGCUACACACGUGCUACAAUGGACGGUACAACGAGUCGCGAACUCGCGAGGGCAAGCAAAUCUCUUAAAACCGUUCUCAGUUCGGACUGCAGGCUGCAACUCGCCUGCACGAAGUCGGAAUCGCUAGUAAUCGCGGAUCAGCAUGCCGCGGUGAAUACGUUCCCGGGCCUUGUACACACCGCCCGUCACACCAUGAGAGUUUGUAACACCCAAAGUCGGUGAGGUAACCUUUUAGGAGCCAGCCGCGUAAGGUGAACCC
rnacentral:rRNA from 1 species